rnacentral:rRNA from 1 species
CCCUUAGAUGUUCUGGGCCGCACGCGCGCUACACUGAUGCAUUCAACGAGUCUAAAACCUGGUCUGAUAGGGCUGGGUAAUCUUUUGAAUGUGCAUCGUGAUUGGGAUAGAUGAUUGCAAUUCUUCAUCUUCAACGAGGAAUGCCUAGUAAACGCAAGUCAUCAGCUUGCAUUGAUUACGUCCCUGCCCUUUGUACACACCGCCCGUCGCUCCUACCGAUUGGGUGUGCUGGUGAAAUGUUCGGAUCGGCCGUUUGUCGCGGUUUCCGCGUCAUGUGGCUGAGAAGUUCAUUAAACCCUCCCACCUAGAGGAAGGAGAAGUCGUAACA